rnacentral:ncRNA from 1 species
UUUUUACGCCUCAAACUUUCGUUUUCGGGUCAUUUCGUCCAGACUUAAGUUCACAACACCUCACC